GGCCGCACGGUGGCUUAGUGGUUAGCACGGUUGGCUCACACUACCAGGAUCGGGGGUUCGAUUCCUGCUGCAGCCC